GAUGAAGAACGUAGCAAAAUGCGAUACUUGGUGUGAAUUGCAGAAUCCCGUGAACCAUCGAGUUUUUGGACGCAAGUUGCGCCCGAAGCCUUUUGGCCGAGGGCACGUCUGCCUGGGCGUCACGCAUCGCGUCGCCCCCCCACAAUUCUCCGUAAAGGGAACAUGUGUUUUGGGGGCGGAUAUUGGUCUCCCGUGCUCAUGGCGUGGUUGGCCGAAAUAGGAGUCCUUUCGAUGGACGCACGAACUAGUGGUGGUCGUAAAAACCCUCGUCUUUUGUUUCGUGCUGUUGCUCGCAAGGUAAACUCUUUAAAACCCCCAAGGCGUCGUCUCUUGACGACGCUUCGACCGCGACCCCAGGUCAGGCGGGACUACCCGCUGAGUUUAAGCAUAUCAAUAAGCGGAGGA
rnacentral:misc_RNA from 1 species